rnacentral:tRNA from 1 species
ACCCGAUUAGCUCAAUUGGCAGAGCGUGGUCCUUUUAUUGUCAACGCCCUAGUGGAUAAGUCCACUCGGGUGUAGAUACUGCAAAAGUCCAAGGCUCAGGGUUCGACCCCCUGAUCGGGUG